ensembl:lncRNA
CCCCACCUACAUCUGGUACAGGAACAGUAAGAUUGUACAAGAGUUCUCCUCCCCCUCAUACACAUUCUACUUUAAAACUGAAGACAGCUUCUACUGUGCUGUAAAAGGCAUCAAUUCUCCUGCAGUGUACGGCCCAAAGAACACCUCAGUGUCAGUCAGUCCCUCUGGUGAAAUAGUGGAGGGCAGUUCAGUGACUCUGACCUGCAGCAGUGAUGCCAACCCACCUGUGGACAAAUACACCUGGUACAAGACAAAACACAACAGGUCGAUGAGACAUCUUGGACAGAGAUACACCAUCCAUAACAUCAGCUCUGAAGACAGAGAGGGAUACUACUGUGAGGCUCUGAGCAUUAUAGGGAGAGAGACUAUCCCUGUCCAUAUUAAUGUUAUAUCAGUGUUUCCCUGGGUUCCUGUGUUGGGGGUGGGGGCUGUCCUGACUGCUGGAGCUCUGCUACUCACCAUCUACUGCACUCUGAAGAGGAGAUCCACAGGAGGAAGUGAUACCACUGCAGACACACAGAAUGUGAGAGACUCUCCCAGUGACACAGCCCCUCAGAUAGAUGCUGAGCCCUCCGAUUAUGAGAACUGGAGCAAACCACCACAGGACCUGGACAGUGACACAGACCCUCAGAUAGAUGCUGAGCCCUCCGAUUAUGAGAACCACAAAAGAACCGGGACUGAAGAGAACCACCACAGAACCUGGACCAAAGAGAACCACCAUAGAACAUGGACUGAAGAGAACCAAAACAGUACCUGGACUGAAGAGCAACAGCAUCAAACCAAAGCUAGGCCUCACAAUGCUAUUCUCUUACUAUCAUAAUGCUUUAUAGUCUAGAAGGUUUGAGACACUGAGCUUUAACUUCUGAGUAAGUGCUGGAAUUUAGAUUGUUCUCCUAAUGAUAAAUACAGUAUGUGUCUAGAUGAUCAAUACAGUAUGUGUCUAGAUGAUUAAUACAGUAUGUAUAUAGAUGAUAAAUGAUCAAUACAGUACGUGAAUAGAUUCUCAAUACAGUAUGUAUAUAGAUGAUCAAUACAGUAUGUAUCUAGAUGAUCAAUGGUAUAGAUUGUGCUUCUGCUAUUUUUCUAUAAGAUUUUGCCAUUUCCAGAUUUGAUUACAUUUCACAUAGAAAUAAUUGUAACUCUUUAUUAGCAAAUGAAUAGUGUGAGUCUUGGCGAUAUAGGCUCUGCUCCUUCAGGGUAGCAGUAAACUAUACCAAUCCCCCAGCAGGAACACAGAACCUAACAGGUGGAGGCUGGGGUGGUGGGAGGAGCUACUCUCCUGCUCAUGAUCAGAAAACAUUGCUUCUCACUCACUGUAUAGCAACAUGGUUGAGGCUAAUUCCUCCUUGUAUGGAUGAGGGAGAAUUCUCCAUGAUGUUUCACGGAGCGCACUGACUCAGCUCAAAGCUGUUAUUGGGAAGAAACAAGUAGGCAGUAUGAUAGGUUACUCUCGAUGCUAUUUCUACUUAGCUAGCUUGUAGCCGGCUAUUGACUGACAACAGAGCAGCAACAUGGUUGAUCCUCACAAUCAAUCACAUCCCC